rnacentral:misc_RNA from 1 species
CAAUGAUUGAAGCAAUGACUCCUGGUAUCUUCUCUCUGCUAUUUGUAAAAACCACAUUUGAUUAUAAAACAUAACUGAAACAAGUUGGAAAUUUGUUUAAUGACAGAGUAACAAUGAGAUAGUAGGAAACUGGUGAUAUUAAUAUUUAUUGUAUGUGUAUUGAAUGGUUUACAUCAAUCUCAUAUAUCCAUUAAGAGUUAAAUAUGGUUUAAUGCUUUUUCUUAUCAGGGUAUUAUGGUCUAUUGGAAAAUUAGUUAAUAACUGAGAGAACAUAUAAUUGCCCUUUUCUCACCUGGUAUGCAUUUAGGCAGUCUAAUGUUCCUAUUGAAUUCCAUAUGAGGGAAAGGACAAUACUAUACAGAGCAUGGAAGGUAGUUAAAACCAACAGUAAUUCUACACCAUACAGGUUGUCAGUUGUCUUGUCAGAUGCCAUAUUCUUCCUUUUGUACAUUGGUAAAUUGACAUAUCUUCUUCUCCAAGAACGUGUAUUAGUAAUGUCAUAUAGCAACUCAUUUUGUGCCACGGAUGUUAAACACAUUGCAAGUAACCAAAAUCUGUUUUGGGAGAUGGAAUACUUUCUUUAAUGUAACUGUCUAUCUACGUGGUCCAUUAUAAAUCCCUUUUUAUCAGAGACACAGGGUGUAUUUUGCUUAUUUCUAAGUGAGAUAGUGUUCUUUUGUUUAUUACUCAAACAUCUGAUACUUGGAAAGCUUUCUAAUUUGGUGUUUAUUUACAGAGGAAAGAGAG